rnacentral:rRNA from 1 species
UGGCGGCAGGCUACACAUGCAAGUCGAGCGGUAACACAAGGGAGCUUGCUCCUGAGGUGACGAGAGGCGGACGGGUGAGUAAUGCCUAGGGAUCUGCCCAGUCGAGGGGGAUAACAGUUGGAAACGACUGCUAAUACCGCAUACNCCCUACGGGGGAAAGGAGGGGACCUUCGGGCCUUUCGCGAUUGGAUGAACCUAGGUGGGAUUAGCUAUUUGGUGAGGUAAUGGCUCACCAAGGCGACGAUCCCUAGCUGUUCUGAGAGGAUGAUCAGCCACACUGGGACUGAGACACGGCCCAUACUCCUACGGGAGGCUGUAUGGGGAAUAUUG